CUGAGCUGUGCAGUUUGUGCUGCCAGUGAGCGUGCAAAGAAGAGGAGGAGGAACAAGCGUGCACCGGAGAAAGGAGGAGGAGUAAAGGGAGAGAGAGUGCAAACAAUGUCAUUCUGUUCAGGAGGCAGUGCUGCAGUCAACUUUGCCGCGCCAUGAAAGCACAUCACCAGUGACCAAGAGGCUCAGAGAGAGUGAAGAGAAGUUUUCAUCCUCUCCUCCUCCAGUGUGAUGCAGUGCCAGACUCUUCUGUAGAUUUCAUCUCCAGUCGCCGGCAGCGGGACAAAGAUGAAGCUAAAGGCACAGCUCAAAGCACUUUGAGUUGCCUCUGGGUGCAGCAUCGUAGUGACUUUGCUCUCUCAUUGAUAAGGUCAUCGGCCUGUUGAUGGGCUGCAGCAGAGAGUGACGCCGCAGAUGUAUAGUACACUACUUUAAGAGACGCUCAGGCAGCCAAACUCAGACCAUAUUGUAGCAGGCUCAUGCACCGGGUUCGACCGCUGGUGGCAUGUUGGAACAUGUCUUGACUUGUGCUGUCUGGGUGAAGCAGACACACAGAAAGAGAACCCACAGAGAGAAAGAGAAGAAGCUGGUGGUCAACUGGUACCUCGUAUGAAGUGACCCUGCGGCGUCCUGCACAUUUGGGUGGAUGGAGGAGCUCUGCCGCUGCCUUGCUCCCUGGUCUUUGUGAGACAUCCUACCACCGAAAAGCUGGGAAAGUGAGGUACAAACGUCAGCAGCGCCACACUCAAGAGGUCAAACUGUGCAGCUAAAACCAGCCAAUUUCCUGCUGAGAGAAAGUAGGUGGACAGACGGGUGGACGGACAGUAGGCCGCGGCUGCUGUGGGUGUUUCUCUGGCAGUGUCUUAGCUGGUUGUUGUGAGGAGUGAGAACGAAGCAAUCAGCAAGUAUACUGCCGCAGAAAUUCUUCGCAAUAAGAAGCCCUGGGAUCAAUAAUCAUCACGAGAUGCAAAGAGGAACCCAGAUUUUCACGGCAGACAGCGCCAAAACGAACCCGGCUGCGGCUGUAAAUUUGAAAUGAAAAGCGGAUUAAGUGAAGACAGAUCGACAGAGCAUGGCCUUUCUGUUACCGACAUUUACAUUUGGAUCAAGGCAUCAAACCUCUUAACUCUGUAGUUCCAUGAUCGUCUGCUGCCAUCUUGUGACUGGAAGCAACCUCUCUGCAUGCUUUUGUUCAUCCAAGUCCACACCAACUCACGUUAAUCUUUUUUAGUUUCUAUUGUCAAAAAGUAUGUGCAUGGCUUAAUAGGACUAGAUUCCUUUUUUCAGUUGCAAGUGCAUCUCGGUCAAUUUUAUUAAUGUAUUGGCUGCUGCCAAAUCAUUUCAUUAUAUUUUAAUUGUAAAAAGGUGUAAAUAAAUGUUUCAUAAUAACA